AUUGAACGCUGGCGGCAUGCUUUACACAUGCAAGUCGAACGGCAGCGCGGGCUUCGGCCUGGCGGCGAGUGGCGAACGGGUGAGUAAUACAUCGGAACGUGCCCAGUAGUGGGGGAUAGCUCGGCGAAAGCCGGAUUAAUACCGCAUACGACCUGAGGGUGAAAGCGGGGGAUCUUCGGACCUCGCGCUAUUGGAGCGGCCGAUGGCAGGUUAGCUAGUUGGGGGGGUAAAGGCCUACCAAGGCGACGAUCUGUAGCUGGUCUGAGAGGACGACCAGCCACACGGGGACUGAGAAACGGCCCAGAUUCCUACGGGAGGCAGCAGGGGGGAAUUUUGGACAAUGGGCGAAAGCCUGAUCCAGCAAUGCCGCGUGUGUGAUGAAGGCCUUCGGGUUGUAAAGCACUUUUGGCGGGAACGAAAAGGACUGUGCCAAUACCACGGUUCGAUGACGGUACCCGCAGAAUAAGCACCGGCUAACUACGU
rnacentral:rRNA from 1 species